rnacentral:rRNA from 1 species
AUUGAACGCUGGCGGCAUGCUUUACACAUGCAAGUCGAACGGCAGCGGGGUGGAGCUUGCUUCUCUGCCGGCGAGUGGCGAACGGGUGAGUAAUACAUCGGAACGUGUCGAGAAGAGGGGGAUAACCACCCGAAAGGGUGGCUAAUACCGCAUAAAUUCUGAGGAAGAAAGCUGGGGACCUAGGAAUAGGCCUAGCGCUUUUUGAGCGGCCGAUGUCGGAUUAGCUAGUUGGUGAGGUAAAGGCUCACCAAGGCGAAGAUCUGUAGCGGGUCUGAGAGGAUGAUCCGCCACACUGGAACUGAGACACGGCCCAGACUCCUACGGGAGGCAGCAGUGGGGAAUUUUGGACAAUGGGGGCAACCCUGAUCCAGCCAUGCCGCGUGUAUGAAGAAGGCCUUAGGGUUGUAAAGUACUUUUGUUAGGGAAGAAAAGUCAGCUGUGAAUAAUGGCUGAUACUGACGGUACCUAAAGAAUAAGCACCGGCUAACUACGUG